CCCUCCAAUGGUAAUCUACACAGAAAUUGAACCAAAGACAAUGCUCCUCCUUCACCUUGCUUCAAGAGUUCUAGCCCCUAGAACUCGACUAGCCACCAAUCGAUUAGAUCUUUCUUCAAACUUGAGUUUGAACCUCUCAGAACCACCCACUGGAUUUGACCAUCUUUUUUUGGACCUCUUAAAUCCUUAGAGCUAUUAGGAUUAGGCUUGUCUUAAAAGAACAAGCCUUUAUCCUAAACCCUAGAGUUGUAAGAGAGGGAGAGA
rnacentral:lncRNA from 1 species